UACCCUUUGCUUUCUAAACGACCUAGCGGCGGACGGGUGAGUAACACGUAGGCAACCUGCCCACAAGACAGGGAUAACUACCGGAAACGGUAGCUAAUACCCGAUACAUCCUUUUCCUGCAUGGGAGAAGGAGGAAAGACGGAGCAAUCUGUCACUUGUGGAUGGGCCUGCGGCGCAUUAGCUAGUUGUUGGGGUAAAGGCCUACCAAGGCGACAAUGCGUACCCGACCUGAAAAGGGUGACCGGGCCACACUGGGACUGAAACCCGCCCAAACUCCCAGGGAGGGAACCAUAAGGGAAUCUUCCCCAAGGGGCAAAAGCCGGACGGGCCCCCCCCCGGGGGGGAGAAGGUUUUCGAAC
rnacentral:rRNA from 1 species